rnacentral:misc_RNA from 1 species
UAGAUCGAGAAAAAAAAAACAACCUCCCAACACGUGUGAAAUAUAAUGAUGUGAAAUUGAAGAAAAAAUGACGGGUCAAAAAUUUAAACGACGAAUGAAAUGAAAUACGGCACGCGCGGCGUGUAACGCUGGUGUUCAUAAAAAGUGUUGAGAACUGUAGAACUGUUGCGAAUGUCACCGAAACUCAUAUUCAUGACAGAUCAGUUUAAUAACGAAACAACGGUAAUAACCUUUGCGAAUGCCUCGAUUUCGAAGUAAUUUUUCUGAAUUUUUGUACCACGUAAAAUCAGUUGCAAUAGUAUAACACCGCGUCGUUGAUUUCCUCGCAUCCGAAGUGUAAGUCACGCCGAUGGCUCACACGUCGAGUACGGUACGAGCAGUGUUGUGUAGUUUGUGAGAGAAAAGGAGAAUGCAGCACCUACGGCGGAUCCAACUUGGGUGACAAUACCCACGUAAAACAGUUCUUUAGGGCCCGGCUCUCUUCUGAAUAUUGCGGUAAUGGCGAGUUUUGCAUAGGUGACAAGACCGGUCAGAAAUAUCCAAGCAACAAUGACAAGAACGAUGCCAAUCCUGGAACUGCGCCAUGGGGGCGUGGGAGACAAAAAUGCGAGCCAAGUUACGUACGAAGCUGCAACAAAGGCGAGGGCUGCAAUCCCCGUGAUGCCACGAAGACUCGGAGACGACAGCCAAAGAGCGAGAAGGCAGGCAAUCGGGUUCGCAAGGUGAGCCAUCGUCACCGUCAAAUGGUACGCAAAGUUACCGUAAGGGAGACAAGAAUAGGAUUGUAUCCCAGCCCGGAGGACCUGGGAUUCGAAUGCGGUCCGCAUUCGCUCUCUUGUCUUGUUUCCACAUCCGAUUGACUCGAGACGUCGAUUAUCUCAUUGACCUGGCCGUCCAUGGGCAUCCCGAACC